GACGGUUUGGCUGAGUGGUUUAAGGUGCUAGAUUUAGGCUCUAGUCCGAAAGUGCGUGGGUUCUCACAGCUGUCA
rnacentral:tRNA from 1 species